rnacentral:rRNA from 1 species
UACGGAGGGGGCUAGCGUUGUUCGGAAUUACUGGGCGCAAAGCGCACGUAGGCGGCUACUCAAGUCAGAGGUGAAAGCCCAGGGCUCAACCCUGGAACUGCCUUUGAAACUAGGUAGCUAGAAUCUUGGAGAGGUCAGUGGAAUUCCGAGUGUAGAGGUGAAAUUCGUAGAUAUCGGGAGGAACACCAGUGGCGAAGGCGGCUACCUGGACCAGCAUUGACACUCAAGCACGAAAGCGUGGGGAGCAAACAGG